AGUCAAUAGAUACCCAGGUAGUCCACGCCGUAAACGUUGGGCGCUAGGUGUGGGGAACCUUCCACGUUCUCCGUGCCGUAGCUAAACGCAUUAAGCGCCCCGCCUGGGGAGUACGGCCGCAAGGCUAAAACUCAAAGGAAUUGACGGGGGCCCGCACAAGCGGCGGAGCAUGUUGCUUAAUUCGAUGCAACGCGAAGAACCUUACCUAGGCUUGACAUAUACCGAAAAACUCAUAGAGAUAUGGGGUCCGCAAGGGCGGUAUACAGGUGGUGCAUGGUUGUCGUCAGCUCGUGUCGUGAGAUGUUGGGUUAAGUCCCGCAACGAGCGCAACCCUCGUCCUAUGUUGCCAGCGCGUUAUGGCGGGGACUCAUAGGAGACUGCCGGGGUCAACUCGGAGGAAGGUGGGGAUGACGUCAAAUCAUCAUGCCCCUUAUGUCUAGGGCUGCAAACAUGCUACAAUGGUCGGUACAAAGGGCUGCGAUACCGCAAGGUGGAGCGAAUCCCAAAAAGCCGGCCUCAGUUCGGAUUGGGGUCUGCAACUCGACCCC
rnacentral:rRNA from 1 species